rnacentral:rRNA from 1 species
GCUCACUGAGGAAUUGCUUUGGAAACUGGGGACUUUGAUGCAGUAAAGGAGAGUGGAAUUCCAUGUGUAGCGGUGAAAUGCGUGGAGAAUGGAGGAACACCAGUGGCGAAGGCGGCUUUCUGGACUGUAACUGACGUUGAGGCUCGAAAGCGUGGGGAGCAAACAGAAUUAGAUACCCUGGUAGUCCACGCCGUAAACGAUGAGUGCUUGGUGUUUGAGGGUUCCAUGCCUUAAGUGCCGAAGCUAACGCAUUAAGCACUCCGCCUGGGGAGUACGACCGCAAGGUUGAAACUCAAAGGAAUUGACGGGGACCCGCACAAGCGGUGGAGCGUGUGGUUUAAUUCGAAGCAACGCGAAGAACCUUACCAGGUCUUGACAUCCCUUGACCACUCCAGAGAUGGAGCUUCCCCUUCGGGGACAAAGUGACAGGUGGUGCAUGGUUGUCGUCAGCUCGUGUCGUGAGAUGUUGGGUUAAGUCCCGCAACGAGCGCAACCCUUGUUACUAGUUGCCAGCAUUCAGUUGGGCACUCUAAUGAGACUGCCGGUGACAAACCGGAGGAAGGUGGGGAUGACGUCAAAUCAUCAUGCCCCUUAUGACCUGGGCUACACACGUGCUACAAUGGAUGGUACAACG